AUUGAACGCUGGCGGUAGGCCUAACACAUGCAAGUCGAACGGUAACAGGAAGAAGCUUGCUUCUUUGCUGACGAGUGGCGGACGGGUAAGUCAUGUCUGGGAAACUGCCUGAUGGAGGGGGAUAACUACUGGAAACGGUAGCUAAUACCGCAUAACGUCGCAAGACCAAAGAGGGGGACCUUCGGGCCUCUUGCCAUCGGAUGUGCCCAGAUGGGAUUAGCUAGUAGGUGGGGUAACGGCUCACCUAGGCGACGAUCCCUAGCUGGUCUGAGAGGAUGACCGGCCACACUGGAGCUGAGACACGGUCCAGACUCCUACGGGAGGCAGCAGUGGGGAAUAUUGCACAAUGGGCGCAAGCCUGAUGCAGCCAUGCCGCGUGUAUGAAGAAGGCCUUCGGGUUGUAAAGUACUUUCAGCGGGGAGGAAGGGAGUAAAGUUAAUACCUUUGCUCAUUGACGUUACCCGCAGAAGAAGCACCGGCUAACUCCGUG
rnacentral:rRNA from 1 species